UUCCAGACUCCUACGGGAGGCAGCAGUGGGGAAUAUUGCACAAUGGGGGAAACCCUGAUGCAGCGACGCCGCGUGAGUGAGGAAGUAUUUCGGUAUGUAAAGCUCUAUCAGCAGGGAAGAAAAUGACGGUACCUGACUAAGAAGCCCCGGCUAACUACGUGCCAGCAGCCGCGGUAAUACGUAGGGGGCAAGCGUUAUCCGGAUUUACUGGGUGUAAAGGGAGCGUAGACGGAAUAGCAAGUCUGAUGUGAAAACCCGGGGCUCAACUCCGGGAGUGCAUUGGAAACUGUUGAUCUAGAGUGUCGGAGAGGCAAGCGGAAUUCCUAGUGUAGCGGUGAAAUGCGUAGAUAUCGCGCAGAACUCCGAUUGCGAAGGCAGCAUGCCGGCUCCACACUGACGCUGAGGCACGAAAGCGUGGGUAUCGAACAGGAUUAGAUACCCUAGUA
rnacentral:rRNA from 1 species